rnacentral:rRNA from 1 species
GAUGAACGCUGGCGGCGUGCCUAAUACAUGCAAGUCGAGCGAACAGAUGAGGAGCUUGCUCCUCUGACGUUAGCGGCGGACGGGUGAGUAACACGUGGAUAACCUACCUAUAAGACUGGGAUAACUUCGGGAAACCGGAGCUAAUACCGGAUAAUAUAUUGAACCGCAUGGUUCAAUAGUGAAAGACGGUUUUGCUGUCACUUAUAGAUGGAUCCGCGCCGCAUUAGCUAGUUGGUAAGGUAACGGCUUACCAAGGCAACGAUGCGUAGCCGACCUGAGAGGGUGAUCGGCCACACUGGAACUGAGACACGGUCCAGACUCCUACGGGAGGCAGCAGUAGGGAAUAUUGCGCAAUGGGCGAAAGCUUGACGGAGCAACGCCGCGUGAGUGAUGAAGGUCUUCGGAUCGUAAAGCUCUGUUAUUAGGGAAGAACAAAUGUGUAAGUAACUAUGCACGUCUUGACGGUACCUAAUCAGAAAGCCACGGCUAACUACGUG